GGCUGAUCUGAAUUCAGUGGUAUUCACAACUAAAUGAUGCCUUCUCCACUCCCACUGCUUCACUUGACUAGCCUUUA
ensembl:misc_RNA Y_RNA Y RNA